rnacentral:lncRNA from 1 species
CAGGUUCUUUGUUGGCUACGAAAAUAAUAGUAAUUUACAUUAUUAUUUACAGCAUUAAUUAUAAUAAAUAAUUAAAUUUCUAAACAACUCCUACCUUAUUCCCAAUUUAAUCCUAACUAAACUUAAUUAUUUUCUUAGUCCAAUUCACUCUCUUUUUCUAUUCAAAUUUUGUCUAAACUUAUAUUUAACUAUAAAAUUUCCAGCAUAUUUCCCUAAUUUCGAAAUUUCUUCAAUUUAGUCCCUACAACAUAAAAC